rnacentral:lncRNA from 1 species
AUCUCAAAAUCAGCAGCUUUGGUAGUGCUGUGACUUUCGGUUUCUCUGAAAGUGUUCCUCAAAGAAGCCAGUAUUUGAAUUGUUUGCUACUCAGCCACGAAGAGAUAAGAAGCCUGUGUCAGAAUGCAUGUGAACACGCUGCUUGCUUCCUAGAAGCCUUGCUUUGAAAAAGAAGGUCUGCCCAUCCACAUCAUUUUGGCUGGCCCAGAAUACUCAGUACCUCUCAAUGACCCUCAGACGCUGUAGGAAGAGGAUUGGUUCACCUUUUAACCCAGAAUUUCUCACAUUGAAUGGACAGGAUGCAUUCCAAGAGGCCAGAGUAUGUGCAUCUCAGCUCCUGAUGGUUUCCACCACCACCAUUACUUUCUCUAUGUCAAGAUACCUG